rnacentral:rRNA from 1 species
GAUGAACGCUGGCGGCGUGCCUAAUACAUGCAAGUAGAACGCUGAAGGAGGAGCUUGCUCUUCUGGAUGAGUUGCGAACGGGUGAGUAACGCGUAGGUAACCUGCCUGGUAGCGGGGGAUAACUAUUGGAAACGAUAGCUAAUACCGCAUGACAACAGUUAUUGCAUGAUAACUGUUUAAAAGGGGCAACUGCUCCACUACCAGAUGGACCUGCGUUGUAUUAGCUAGUUGGUGAGGUAACGGCUCACCAAGGCGACGAUACAUAGCCGACCUGAGAGGGGGGUGGGCAAACUGGGGACGGAGAAAAGGCCAAGACCCCGAGGGGGGGCGGGAGAGGGGAAUCGGCGGAAAUGGAGGGAAGUCUGACCGGGGAACGCCGGGGGAGGGAAGAAGGUGUGGGGAACGUAAAGCCCUGUUGGAAGGGAAGAACGGGUGUGAGGGGGGAAAGUUCCCCCUGUGACGGUAUUUUACCAGAAAGGGACGGCUAACUAGGU